rnacentral:miRNA from 1 species
AAGCCUGCCUGGCUCCUCGGG